rnacentral:rRNA from 1 species
GAUGAACGCUGGCGGCGUGCCUAAUACAUGCAAGUCGAGCGAACAGACGAGGAGCUUGCUCCUCUGACGUUAGCGGCGGACGGGUGAGUAACACGUGGAUAACCUACCUAUAAGACUGGGAUAACUUCGGGAAACCGGAGCUAAUACCGGAUAAUAUAUUGAACCGCAUGGUUCAAUAGUGAAAGACGGUUUUGCUGUCACUUAUAGAUGGAUCCGCGCCGCCUUAGCUAGUUGGUAAGGUAACGGCUUACCAAGGCAACGAUGCGUAGCCGACCUGAGAGGGUGAUCCGCCACACUGGAACUGAGACACGGUCCAGACUCCUACGGGAGGCAGCAGUAGGGAAUCUUCCGCAAUGGGCGAAAGCCUGACGGAGCAACGCCGCGUGAGUGAUGAAGGUCUUCGGAUCGUAAAACUCUGUUAUUAGGGAAGAACAAAUGUGUAAGUAACUAUGCACGUCUUGACGGUACCUAAUCAGAAAGCCACGGCUAACUACGUG